GGAUUAGAUACCCUGGUAGUCCACGCUGUAAACGAUGUCGACUAGCCGUUGGGCUCCUUGAGGGCUUAGUGGCGUAGCUAACGCGCUAAGUCGACCGCCUGGGGAGUACGGCCGCAAGGUUAAAACUCAAAUGAAUUGACGGGGGCCCGCACAAGCGGUGGAGCAUGUGGUUUAAUUCGAAGCAACGCGAAGAACCUUACCAGGUCUUGACAUCCAGAGAACUUUCCAGAGAUGGAUUGGUGCCUUCGGGAACUCUGUGACAGGUGCUGCAUGGCUGUCGUCAGCUCGUGUCG
rnacentral:rRNA from 1 species